rnacentral:rRNA from 1 species
UAAUACAUGCAAGUCGAGCGGUAAGGCUUUCACAGAUAUUUAACCAGAUAAGUUCUUCGGAAAACUGUUUGCAGCGAUGAUUCCCCGGCUAGGGAAUCAGAGUUGAAUAAUGCGUGAAAGUACACGAGCGGCGGACGGCUGAGUAACACGUAGGAACGUACCCCAAAGUGAGGGAUAAGCACCGGAAACGGUGUCUAAUACCGCAUGUGAUCUUCGGAUUAAAGCUUCGGCGCUUUGGGAACGGCCUGCGCAUGAUUAGCUUGUUGGUGAGGUAAAAGCUCACCAAGGCGACAAUCAUUGGCUGGUCUGAGAGGAUGAUCAGCCAGACUGGGACUGAGAACGGCCCAGACUCCUACGGGAGGCAGCAGUAGGGAAUUUCCACAAUGGACGAAAGUCUGAUGGAGCAACGCCGCGUGCAGGAUGAAGGGUUUCGGCUCGUAAACUGCUUUUAUCUGUGAAGAUUAUGACGGUAGCAGAUGAAUAAGGAUCGGCUAACUCCGUG